UUGAAAUUAAUAUGGAAACAAAAGUCCAUAAAUAUUAGUUUGAAAAGCCGUGUCAGAAGAGUAGGAUUAAAGACAAAGUAUUAAGAGUAAUUGGGCUGUUCCUGAACAAUAUUGAAUAUAAAUAUUCAAAAAUAUGAUUGAUAACUGCAUAUCCUACUAAGUAGAUCAAUACCAAAAUCCCAUUAGAGAAAUAAGUUAAAAUUAUGUUUUACUUGUAUAAUUUUCUUGCUAUUUGUCCACCAUUAUUUGUGACUUAGAAAUUAAAUAGUCAAAAAGAAUUUAGUACCAGUUUUUAUUUCCCAAAAAAAUUGUUAAAUAAUUACCUAUUGCUUAAGAUACAGUAUAUUAUAUUGUGUUUAUAGUUGAUAAUUCUAGUUCUUAGUUGUUUAUAGUUGAUAAUUAACAAUAUUUCUGAUGUUAGAUAUUAUAUUAGAUAAAAAAUUUAAUUACCAAUAGCUACCUACCUAUGUAGCUGCAGAUUAUAUAUUGUGUAGUAGGUACUGUAUAAUUCUUUAGUUCAAGAAACAAAUAUCAGUACAAGUAUAUAACAAAAAAAUAUAAUAGUUGAUGCAAAUUCUUUGUAUAACAUACGUACCCCUAUGGUAUUCAACUUUUCAUUGUUCUUUUAAUUAGAUACACAAUAAGCACAUUAAUUCGUUUAUUAAACAACCAAAACUAACUACUUAAAUUC